CUUUAUUAAUCCAGCCAAUGACCAAACGGCAUCCCGCCCGGCCGGAGGUGGGGCCGGGGAAGGAACCCCGUAGCAAAUCCGGCUGCUCGCGCCUCGGCUCGCUCCGCCUCUUCCUCCUGUCCUCCCUCCUCCCCGCACCGCCCUCAACCAGGCCCCGCCCACUCAGCUGGCUCUGUACGCCCCCGGGAAGAGGCGGGGAACUGGGCGGAGCGGGGGACGUUCGCGUGGUGUCAUUUACAUGCAGUCACACUAUUGGCUUAGGCUGGCAGUGAAAGGCGAAAUUAGGGGCAGGGAGCUUGUCAAAGUGAGCUUCACGGAUUGGCUUAGCCGUCCGAUGACUUAGAGAAGGCUGUUUAGGCAAAUGAGAGCGCAGGCCGAGCGCGACUCCUCCUCGCCCCGCCUCUGUGUGAGUGACCCAGUGAAAGAUGAGCCCGUGGGGCACAUUCCCUAGUGGAUUUAAAUGACGAAUCUAGAAAUGGAGCUGUUUAAAUAUUUAUGAAGAGGCGGGGAGGUGUACAGUGUCUCCCGGAAACGCUUCUAAUUGGCUGGUGUUUUCAAGCAAGUGUUAGCUGUAUGAAACGUGUCGAGCGGAAUGGAAACUGCAUCUGCACGGGACCUCUCCACAGUCCGGCCCGCGCCACUCCCAGCACCUUCCCUAGACCCUUCCCCACCCCCCGCUUUCCCUGCACACGGAUUCUAGCGCUUCCGUGCGCCCACUCAGCCCCAGGAGCCCUCCUGCCCCGGGAGGCCUCAGAAGGUCGCCGACUGGAAACUCACCCUGCGCCCUUGCAGUGGGCUAUGGGGAGAGAACCUUGGGGAACAAGCAGGACCGGCAAGCGUGGACCGAGUGAUUUAUGACCCUGAUCAAACUUUUUAGGAAGCAGAAAUUAACCUGAGGGGGAUUGGGCCUGAGCUUUGAAGUUCACGGUUUUUUUUUUCCCAUCAGCAAACGCUUCUUGGUUUCUUCUACCCCUCUCCUCCUCCUCUUUCGGUUUCUCAUCACCCGACUUUAUCCUUAAGCAACCCCUUCUGCGUCGAGUUUCUUAAUUUCAAAUAAAAAUAUCUGGACACCAGAGACUGAAGUUCCU
rnacentral:lncRNA from 13 species